CCUACGGGUGGCAGCAGUGGGGAAUAUUGCACAAUGGGCGCAAGCCUGAUGCAGCCAUGCCGCGUGUCUGAAGAAGGCCUUCGGGUUGUAAAGUACUUUCAGCGGGGAGGAAGGGAGUAACGUUCAUACCUUUUCUCAUUGACUUUACCCGCAGAAGCAGCACCGUCUAACUCCGUGCCAGCGGCCGCGGUAAUACGGAGGGUGCAAGCGUUAAUCGGAAUUACUGGGCGUAAAUCGCACGCAGGCGGUUUGUUACGUCAGAUGUGAAAUCCCCGGGCUCAACCUGGGAACUGCAUCGGAUACUGGCAAGCUUGAGUCUCGUAGAGGGGGGUAGAAUUCCAGGUGUAGCGGUGAAAUGUGUAGAGAUCGGGAGGAAUACCGGUGGCGAAGGCGGCCCCCUGGACGAAGACUGACGCUCAGGUGCGAAAGCGUGGGGAGCAAACAGGAUUAGAUACCCCGGUAGUC
rnacentral:rRNA from 1 species